CUUAAUUAAAAUGAGAAGCAUGGGGGCUGGGCGGGGAGGGAGAAGAAAAGAGUCUGGGAGAGAUUUGGCGUUUGUCUUUCACUCUCCCCAUUGCUGUCAAUCUGCCUGUGUGGAGGGGAAGGAGAGGUGUUGGGGGACUCUCAUUCAGACCGGGGUUGAUAAGACCAAGGCUGACCUAUCUCACCCUGGGAGAUGGUCCCUCUCCUCCCAAACAGGCGGUCUGACCGUUGACAGCCGGCGAGGCCCGAUAAACUUAUCACUCCAAACACGGGUCGUCAACCCAACCCCUCCACCGCUUCAGAUUUCCAAGCUGCACUUUCCCACAUCAAUCCUGUUUGCUUUGCAAGCUUUUUCUACAGGAAUAUGUAUUUGCAAAGAGACCUGUAUUUCAGCGGCCCCUGUCCUUCUCCACCCUCAAAAUCUUCGACCCGGACCCAAAGGCUCAUGAAUGAGAAUCAACACACUUCUUCUUUCUCAGAAGAAACAGAGAUUCAAACAGAGGCAAAAUCUUUGCACAAUGGAUCAUGUAAACCAUGGAUAGCGAUGGAAAUAUCCUGAACACCAGAUCCUUUGUCUUCCACCCCGGAAACCUGGUGUCUGAUUUGUUUUUUUUUAUGGGUAGUUUUGCAGAUUUGCCUUACCUAUUCAACCUAGUUACAUCUACUAAACACUUCCUGUUAACGUA